AUGGAGCUCGCCGCCGCGCCUACCAACGACGUCCUGCGUCCAGGCAUGGCGAGGGCGCUGGAUGGCAGGAACGGCCGCAUCAAGGAGGCAGCUAGGGACGGUGGCUCCAGGGCUCUACACGCCGUUGCCAGUCACGGGAGGAUGCCGGUGUGUGUUUACCUGCUCCAGAAGCAUGUUCAACGAAAAUGUCAACGAACCUUUGGCCAUAGCUCCUUCCUCUUCUCACAACAAGUGAGUUCUCUCUGCACUAGCAUAUGUGCUAUCAGUAAUCACCGCUCUAGAAUUCUGAAUAUAUUUCUAUAUGAUAUCCAGCCGGUAAUCGUGCAGGCUUUUGUCUAA
rnacentral:rRNA from 1 species